rnacentral:rRNA from 1 species
UACGGAGGAUCCAAGCGUUAUCCGGAAUCAUUGGGUUUAAAGGGUCCGUAGGCGGUUUAAUAAGUCAGUGGUGAAAGCCCAUCGCUCAACGGUGGAAACGGCCAUUGAUACUGUUAAACUUGAAUUAUUAGGAAGUAACUAGAAUAUGUAGUGUAGCGGUGAAAUGCUUAGAGAUUACAUGGAAUACCAAUUGCGAAGGCAGGUUACUACUAAUGGAUUGACGCUGAUGGACGAAAGCGUGGGUAGCGAACAGG